rnacentral:tRNA from 1 species
AAUAAGGUGCCUGAAGUAAAAGGGCUAUCUUGAUAGGAUAGAUUAUACAGUAAUUGUUCUUAUUA